rnacentral:rRNA from 1 species
UCUUGACGGUACCUAAUCAGAAAGCCACGGCUAACUACGUGCCAGCAGCCGCGGUAAUACGUAGGUGGCAAGCGUUAUCCGGAAUUAUUGGGCGUAAAGCGCGCGUAGGCGGUUUUUUAAGUCUGAUGUGAAAGCCCACGGCUCAACCGUGGAGGGUCAUUGGAAACUGGAAAACUUGAGUGCAGAAGAGGAAAGUGGAAUUCCAUGUGUAGCGGUGAAAUGCGCAGAGAUAUGGAGGAACACCAGUGGCGAAGGCGACUUUCUGGUCUGUAACUGACGCUGAUGUGCGAAAGCGUGGGGAUCAAACAGGAUGAUACCCUGGUAGUCCACGCCGUAAACGAUGAGUGCUAAGUGUUAGGGGGUUUCCGCCCCUUAGUGCUGCAGCUAACGCAUUAAGCACUCCGCCUGGGGAGUACGACCGCAAGGUUGAAACAAAGGAAUUGACGGGGACCCGCACAAGCGGUGGAGCAUGUGGUUUAAUUCGAAGCAACGCGAAGAACCUUACCAAAUCUUGACAUCCUUUGACAACUCUAGAGAUAGAGCUUUCCCCUUCGGGGGACAAAGUGACAGGUGGUGCAUGGUUGUCGUCAGCUCGUGUCGUGAGAUGUUGGGUUAAGUCCCGCAACGAGCGCAACCCUUAAGCUUAGUUGCCAUCAUUAAGUUGGGCACUCUAAGUUGACUGCCGGUGACAAACCGGAGGAAGGUGGGGAUGACGUCAAAUCAUCAUGCCCCUUAUGAUUUUACC